GCUGUAGCUCAGUGGAAGAGCAUCUGCUUUGCACGCAGCAAAUCGCAGGUUCAAUCUCUGGCAUCUCCA